GUCCUAGCCGUAACGAUGGACACUAGGUGUUGGUGGUAUCAACCCACCAGUGCCGAAGCUAACGCAUUAAGUGUCCCGCCUGGGAGUACGGCCGCAAGGCUAAACUCAAAGGAAUUGACGGGCCCGCACAAGCAGCGGAGCGUGGGUUUAAUUCGAUGCAACGCGAAGAACCUUACCAGGGCUUGACAUGACCAGGAAUCCGGCGGAAACGUCGGCGUCCCGCAAGGGGACCUGGCCACAGGUGUUGCAUGGCUGUCGU
rnacentral:rRNA from 1 species